GGACAUGAGGGUGAUCUGGUCAUGACAUGUCAACCCAUUGAUCGGGGGGUGACAGUGUCCCCCUCUUCACAGUCCUGGGUGUGUCCCUCCCAGAGCUGUGCACUCGGUGGGGGAGGACCACCUUCCCUGAUGGAGGAUGUUCUUUGGUCAAGCACAUUUGAGGAGCUGCCCUUCCCUGCUAGAGCCUCCAAACAAGCUCUCCAGGUCCAUUUGCAGGUAGAACACAGGGUAGUCAGGCUGCUAAGACCACCCCCCAACCCCAGACCCAAAUUGAAGUCCUG
rnacentral:snRNA from 1 species